AAGAAAUUAAGCCCAAAAUGCCAUAUACCAAUGUUACCAAACAACAUAAAGCACACCUUUUUCUGUUGUUAUCAUUCUCUGGCCUGCUGCAUGUUUGUAUUGGUUUUGUUGGUAUAGUUGCAUCUAUAGGUUUUGUUGGUAUAGUUGCAGCCCUUGUAGUGUAGUUAGUUUUAUCUAUAGGUUUUGUUGGUAUAGUUGCAUAUUAGUGGUUUGAUUACUGAAACUACUUGUGCACUGAUUUUCUCCUCAGAUGUAAUAACUUUAUGUUGCUAUCAUUCUCUGGCCUGCUGCCUCUUAGUAUUGGUUGGAUUUUUGUAUAUCUUUAAUAGGUUUUAAGUGUUCAAUACUGAUGUAAAUUUGAUCGGUUGUCAUUCCCUAUUGAACAGGGGUUUUGAGACAUAAAUUAAUGUAUGUGUGCGUAUGUAUAUGUAUUGUACAUUCAGCAGCCCUGCAUUACUGUGGUUUAUUUUGUAUCUUUCCAGUCUGGUAAGUUGUUGCCUUUUUUUCUUGAUUGAUAUGGGGCCGAUUGCUUCAGGUGGAAUUCCUUUCAUAGAUUGCUUCAGGUGGUCUAGUAAAUAUUUCUUUCGAGUAUGAGAACUUGUCCUAUCUCGUGAUGUUUUCAUCAAUUGGAUUUCAUCUUUUGACACAUUUAUUUUAUUUUUCAGGUCAUGCGGUAUGAUGUUCAAAAAUUUUGCCUAUGAAAUAUUUCAAUAUGGCGAUCCAUUGUGGAAUUCUUUGAAGACACUAUUUUAUUGGAUUGGUUAUAUAAUGAUACUAGAUAUUUCGUUAAUAUAAGUUUAGUUUUAAAGUUAUGAGACUAUAGUUUGGAUUAAUACUUCAUUUUGUUUUAGAUUUGAUGAGAUAUAUUAUGUUCU
rnacentral:lncRNA from 1 species